AGUGAACGCUGGCGGUAGGCCUAACACAUGCAAGUCGAACGGCAGCACAGUAAGAGCUUGCUCUUACGGGUGGCGAGUGGCGGACGGGUGAGGAAUACAUCGGAAUCUACUUUUUCGUGGGGGAUAACGUAGGGAAACUUACGCUAAUACCGCAUACGACCUACGGGUGAAAGCAGGGGAUCUUCGGACCUUGCGCGAUUGAAUGAGCCGAUGUCGGAUUAGCUAGUUGGCGGGGUAAAGGCCCACCAAGGCGACGAUCCGUAGCUGGUCUGAGAGGAUGAUCAGCCACACUGGAACUGAGACACGGUCCAGACUCCUACGGGAGGCAGCAGUGGGGAAUAUUGGACAAUGGGCGCAAGCCUGAUCCAGCCAUACCGCGUGGGUGAAGAAGGCCUUCGGGUUGUAAAGCCCUUUUGUCGGGAAAGAAAAGCAGCAGGUUAAUACCCCGCUGUUCCGACGGUACCCAAAGAAUAAGCACCGGCUAACUUCGUG
rnacentral:rRNA from 1 species